rnacentral:rRNA from 1 species
UUGAACGCUGGCGGCAGGCCUAACACAUGCAAGUCGAGCGGAUGAAGGGAGCUUGCUCCUGGAUUCAGCGGCGGACGGGUGAGUAAUGCCUAGGAAUCUGCCUGGUAGUGGGGGAUAACGUCCGGAAACGGGCGCUAAUACCGCAUACGUCCUGAGGGAGAAAGUGGGGGAUCUUCGGACCUCACGCUAUCAGAUGAGCCUAGGUCGGAUUAGCUAGUUGGUGGGGUAAAGGCCUACCAAGGCGACGAUCCGUAACUGGUCUGAGAGGAUGAUCAGUCACACUGGAACUGAGACACGGUCCAGACUCCUACGGGAGGCAGCAGUGGGGAAUAUUGGACAAUGGGCGAAAGCCUGAUCCAGCCAUGCCGCGUGUGUGAAGAAGGUCUUCGGAUUGUAAAGCACUUUAAGUUGGGAGGAAGGGCAGUAAGUUAAUACCGUGCUGUUUUGACGUUACCAACAGAAUAAGCACCGGCUAACUUCG